AGGGACCACCACAGGGACCACCUUAGGGACCACCACAGGGACCACCACAGGGACCACCACAAGGACCACCACGAAUAGUAGCACAUCAUCGAGCAGCACAUCUUGGUGGCCAACCUGGCUAACGACAACCGAGCCGAUGCCAAACAAAAACGACGACGUACAGCCAAGAACCAAGAGAUACGAGAAUGCGAUCUGGAGCACGUCGGAAGGACCUUAUUAUUUGGAUGGGAUCGAUUUCGCUAUUCCCGAGGCCAGCACUGUGUCAAUGCCAAUCCAUGUGAUGAGCAUCGAUGCAGCCAGCCCCAAGACUACGCCACUCAGUUGGCAAUGGCAUUAUCUUGUGGCAGGAGAUCAAUAAUUAAGAGAGAGACUAUAGGACAUAUUUUAGACACAUUUCCGUACAUUUUCCGGUUAUUAAACCCAUCAUAAAGUCCGUAGAGUGUAUAAAGUUUAUACUCUGUCUGUUUGACCGACAGCACAGCUCCUGUGGAGGGACUUAAUUGAAACCCAAGCAAAUAAAACAUGUUACCUCACACGACUAAUCCCCAAAAAGUUGAGUGCGCAAUUAACAGACAGCUCUCCCGCUGCCGGACUGCCAGAAGCCUCAACCAUUUCUGGCGAAAAAUGUGAAAUAAAAUAAAUAUUGACAGGCGAGAGUCGGCUGUCGGUUGAUUUA
rnacentral:sRNA from 1 species